UGAGAAAUAAAUUUCUGUUGUUUAUAAGAC
rnacentral:piRNA from 1 species